CCUACGGGUGACAGCAGUGAGGAAUAUUUGUCAAUGGACGGAAGUCUGAACCAGCCAUGCCGCGUGCAGGAAGACGGCUCUAUGAGUUGUAAACUGCUUUUGUAUAAGGGUAAACCUGAAUACGUGUAUUCAGCUGAAAGUACUGUACGAAUAAGGAUCGGCUAACUCCGGGCCAGCAGCCGCGGUAAUACGGAGGUGCCAAGCGUUAUCCGGAUUUAUUGGGUUUAAAGGGUGCGUAGGCGGAUUGAUAAGUUAGAGGUGAAAUGUCCGAGCUUAACUCGGGAACUGCCUCUAAUACUGUUGAUCUAGAGAGUAGGUGCGGUAGGCGGAAUGUAUGGUGGAGCGGUGAAAUGCUUAGAGAUCGUACAGAACACCGAUUGCGAAGGCAGCUUACCAAACUAUAUCUGACGUUGAGGCACGAAGGCGAGGGGAGCGAACGGGAUUAGAUACCCUUGUAGUC
rnacentral:rRNA from 1 species